rnacentral:rRNA from 1 species
AAUGAACGCUGGCGGCGCGCCUAAUACAUGCAAGUCGAGCGAGAAGACGUAGCAAUACGUUUGUAAAGCGGCGAACGGGUGAGGAAUACAUGGGUAACCUACCCUCGAGUGGGGAAUAACUAGCCGAAAGGUUAGCUAAUACCGCGUACGCUCCUUGGACUUCGGUUCAGGGAGGAAAGCGAUACCGAGGGUAUCGCGCUCUUGGAUGGGCUCAUGUCCUAUCAGCUUGUUGGUGAGGAACGGCUCACCAAGGCUUCGACGGGUAGCUGGUCUGAGAGGACGAUCAGCCACACUGGCACUGCGACACGGGCCAGACUCCUACGGGAGGCAGCAGUAAGGAAUAUUGCGCAAUGGGCGAAAGCCUGACCCAGCAACGCCGCGUGAAGGAUGAAAUCCCUCGGGAUGUAAACUUCGCAAGAACGGGAAGAAUAAGUAGGGACAAUACCCCUAUGAUGACGGUACCGUUUGUAAGCUCCGG